ensembl:processed_transcript
UUUGGAAUGGGGACAGCAUAUAUGGUUCAGACUACAAACUGCUUCUGUGUGACUAAGAGAAGAAGAAUCAGAGUAAAGAGAAACAUAUUCUCCACCGAAGAUUAACGGCAGGAGGAGCUCUAGAAUUUCACAAAGGUGCUGUCAGGACACAUAAAAAUCUGGAGAAAAAGACUGGCUUGAAGAGACCAAAAAGAAGAAAGCCUGCCAAUCACAUCCUCCAGAGAUUCUGAGACACACAUACCCCUGGUGUAGGGGGACACCAUCUGAAAGGUAUUUUGCCUGCACAUAUGUCUAUGCCUGGUGCCCACAGAGGCCAGAAGAGGACAUCAGGAGUUAAAGACAGUUGUGACCCACCAUGUGCUAUAUGACAAACCCAGGCUCUCUGGAAGAGCAGCCAGUGAGUGCUCGUGAAUGCUGAGCCAUCUCCCUAGCAAUCAAACUGGAGAAAUGAUGGCAUUGUGCCAGGUUGGAUUAGGUUAAAUAAAAAUCGUAAUCAUUGGCUAGG